AUUGAAGCUAUGAAGGGUGUGUGGUGAAUGCCUAGGGACGAAUUGCCGAAGAAGGACGCGUAAGCAGCGAAAUGCUACGGGGAGAUGCACAGAAUUGAUGAUCCGUAGAUAUCCGAAUGGGGAAACCCGGCGGGGGUAAUGCCUCGUCACCCGGUCUUGAAUACAUAGGGGCCGAGGAGGGAACCUGGUGAACUGAAACAUCUAAGUAACCAGUGGAAGAGAAAUCGAAGAGACUCCGUAAGUAGCGGCGAGCGAAAGCGGAAUAGCCCAAACCAGUGAGUUUACUCACUGGGGUAGUGGGGCAUCCACUAAGUCUCCCAAACGGAGAGACGCUUGAAUCUGAUUUUUGGAUUCAGGAUCUUUGCGUUUGAGAGGCUUAGAAAAGAAUUGAAGAGAGUUAGAGAAACAGGAUUGGAAAGUCCGGCCGUAGAGGGUGAUAGCCCCGUACUCCAAAAACUCAAAUCGAAUUCAGGGUGUACCCAAGUAACGCGGAGCACGAGGAAUUCCGCGUGAAUCUGCCCGGACCACCGGGUAAGGCUAAGUACGAUUCGUCACCGAUAGUGCAUCCAGUACCGUGAGGGAAAGGUGAAAAGAACCCCGGGAGGGGAGUGAAAUAGAACCUGAAACCGCAACAUCCGCAAACAGUCGAAGCACAAUGGCGUAAGUCAAGUGCGACGGCGUGCCUUUUGCAGAAUGAGCCUGCGAGUUACUGUUAGUGGCAAGGUUAAGUGUUUUAGACACGGAGCCGGAGGGAAACCGAGUUCGAAUAGAGCGUCAAGUCACUAGUAGUAGACCCGAAACUGCGUGAUCUAGCCAUGGCCAGGUUGAAGUGUUGGUAACACAACAUGGAGGACCGAACUCAUUGAUGUUGAAAAAUCUCGGGAUGAGCUGUGGUUAGUCCGGUGAAAUGCCAAUCGAACGCAGAGAUAGCUGGUUCUCCCCGAAAUGCAUUGAGGUGCAGCGUUAUGUGUUUCUUACUGGGGGUAGAGCACUGAAUGGGCUAGGGGGCUUACCCGCUUACCGAACCCAACCAAACUCCGAAUACCAGUAAGUGAAGCAUAGCAGUGAGACUACGAGGGAUAAGCUCCGUGGUCAAAAGGGAAAAAGCCCAGAUCGUCAGCUAAGGCCCCUAAUCCUAGACUAAGUGUGAAACGAUGUGAGAUCGCGUAAACAGCCAGGAGGUUGGCUUGGAAGCAGCCAUCCUUUAAAAAGUGCGUAACAGCUUACUGGCCGAAUGUGAUCUUGCGCGGAAAAUGUAAGGGGGCUCAAGUCUAGAGCCGAAGCUACGGACCCAGUUUACUGGGUGGUAGGGGAGCGUCGGCUGCGCAGUGAAGCUACAGCGUAAGCAGUGGUGGAGUGCAGUCGAGUGAGAAUGCAGGCAUGAGUAGCGCUAAUACAAGUGAGAAUCUUGUACGCCGAAAACCUAAGGUUUCUCCGGCUAUGUUCGUCAGACGGAGGUUAGGCGGACCUAAGGCGAGGCCAGAAGGCGUAGCCGAUGGACAGCAGGUUGAAAUUCCUGCCCUGGUACCAGUGCGAUGGAUGACGUUUCUCAAAGCCCAACUAGGUUAUUGGAUUCUGAGUGGAUCUCUUCGGAGUGAAGCGUAUUGGGUAGAGAGGGGCCGAGAAAAACUCCUAAGCUUCAGCUGGUAUCAACCGUACUGCAAACCGACACAGGUAGGUGAGUCGAGGAGACUAAGGCGUUCGGAAGAACUCUCGUUAAGGAACUAGGCAAAACGACCCCGUAACUUCGGAAGAAGGGGUGCCUCGAAAGAGGCCGCAGCGAAGCAGCCCAGGCGACUGUUUACCAAAAACACAGGUCUCUGCAAACCCGAAAGGGGAAGUAUAGGGGCUGACGCCUGCCCAAUGCUCGUAGAUUAACGGGAGAUGUUAGGGGCAACCCGAAGCAUCGAACCGAAGUCCGAGUGAAUGGCGGCCGUAACUCUAACGGUCCUAAGGUAGCGAAAUUCCUUGUCGGCUAAAUACCGACCCGCAUGAAAGGCGUAACGACUUGGGCACUGUCUCAACGAGAAAUCCGGUGAAAUUGUAGCACCCGUGAAGAUGCGGGUUACCAGCAGUAGGACGGAAAGACCCCGUGGAGCUUUACUACACCUUCAGAUUGUGAAUUGGAUGUAGAUGUAGAGCGUAGGUGGGAUGCUUCGGCGCCAAUGGAACACCACCCUUCUUCAUCUGAUUUACUAACCUGCACCGUUAUCCGGUGUGGAGACAGUCUGUGGCGGGUAGUUUGACUGGGGCGGUCGCCUCCCAAAAUGUAACGGAGGCGUACAAAGUUGCACUCAGCCUGGUCGGAAAUCAGGCGUCGAGCGUAUAGGUAUAUAGUGCAAUUGACUGUGAGACCAACAAGUCGAGCAGGUGCGAAAGCAGGUCUAAGUGACCCUCUGAUUGUGCGUGGGCACGUCAGGGUUCAACGGAUAAAAGCUACCCCGGGGAUAACAGGCUGAUCUUGCCCGAGCGUCCAUAGCGACGGCAUGGUUUGGCACCUCGAUGUCGGCUCGUCUCAUCCUGGGGCUGUACCAGGUCCCAAGGGUUCCGGAGUUCACGGAUUAAAGAGGCACGCGAGCUGGGUUCAGAACGGCGUGAGCCAGUUCGGUCCCUAUCCACUGCUGGCGUAGGAAAUUUGAAGGGAGACGUUCUUAGUACGAGAGGACCGGAAUGUACUGACCUCUGGUGUACCAAUUGUCCUGCCAAGGGCAUACGUUGGGUAGCCACGUCGGGAAGCGAUAAGCGCUGAAAGCAUCUAAGCGCCAAGCGCACCCUAAGAUUAGAUUUCCCACUUCGAGGUAAGGUCCCAUGAAGACUACAUGGUGAUAGGUCGCAUGUGUAAGCACAGUAAUGUGUUGUGCUGAGCGAUACUAAUUGACCGAGGGCUUCAUAUA
rnacentral:rRNA from 1 species